CCUACGGGUGGCUGCAGUGGGGAAUAUUGGACAAUGGGCGAAAGCCUGAUCCAGCCACGCCGCGUGUGUGAAGAAGGCCUUCGGGUUGUAAAGCACUUUCAGUGGGGAAGAAAGCCUUGGGGCUAAUACCCCCGAGGAAGGACAUCACCCACAGAAGAAGCACCGGCUAACUCCGUGCCAGCAGCCGCGGUAAUACGGAGGGUGCGAGCGUUAAUCGGAAUUACUGGGCGUAAAGCGCGCGUAGGCGGUCUGAUAAGCCGGUUGUGAAAGCCCCGGGCUCAACCUGGGAACGGCAUCCGGAACUGUCAGGCUAGAGUGCAGGAGAGGAAGGUAGAAUUCCCGGUGUAGCGGUGAAAUGCGUAGAGAUCGGGAGGAAUACCAGUGGCGAAGGCGGCCUUCUGGACUGACACUGACGCUGAGGUGCGAAAGCGUGGGUAGCAAACAGGAUUAGAUACCCUGGUAGUC
rnacentral:rRNA from 1 species